rnacentral:rRNA from 1 species
AUUGAACGCUGGCGGCAGGCCUAACACAUGCAAGUCGGGCGGUAACACAGGGAGCUUGCUCCUGGGUGACGAGCGGCGGACGGGUGAGUAACGUCUGGGAAACUGCCUGAUGGAGGGGGAUAACUACUGGAAACGGUAGCUAAUACCGCAUAACGUCGCAAGACCAAAGAGGGGGACCUUCGGGCCUCUUGCCAUCAGAUGUGCCCAGAUGGGAUUAGCUAGUAGGUGGGGUAACGGCUCACCUAGGCGACGAUCCCUAGCUGGUCUGAGAGGAUGACCAGCCACACUGGAACUGAGACACGGUCCAGACUCCUACGGGAGGCAGCAGUGGGGAAUAUUGCACAAUGGGCGCAAGCCUGAUCCAGCAAUACCGCGUGUGUGAAGAAGGCCCUAGGGUUGUAAAGGCACUUUCAAUGGGGAGGAAAACCUGCCGGUCAAUACCCGGUAGCUUGACAUUACCUAUAGAAGAAGCACCGGCUAACUCCGUGCCAGCAGCCGCGGUAAU